CAGCAGCCGCGGGAAUACAGAGGGUGCGAGCGUUAAUCGGAUUUACUGGGCGUAAAGCGUGCGUAGGCGGCUUCUUAAGUCGGAUGUGAAAUCCCUGAGCUUAACUUAGGAAUUGCAUUCGAUACUGGGAAGCUAGAGUAUGGGAGAGGAUGGUAGAAUUCCAGGUGUAGCGGUGAAAUGCGUAGAGAUCUGGAGGAAUACCGAUGGCGAAGGCAGCCAUCUGGCCUAAUACUGACGCUGAGGUACGAAAGCAUGGGGAGCAAACAGGAUUAGAUACCCCCGUAGUCCCUGUCUAUUAUAC
rnacentral:rRNA from 1 species